rnacentral:rRNA from 1 species
UACGUAGGGUGCGAGCGUUGUCCGGAAUUAUUGGGCGUAAAGAGCUUGUAGGUGGUUUGUCGCGUCUGCUGUGAAAAUCCGGGGCUCAACCCCGGACUUGCAGUGGGUACGGGCAGACUAGAGUGUGGUAGGGGAGACUGGAAUUCCUGGUGUAGCGGUGAAAUGCGCAGAUAUCAGGAGGAACACCGAUGGCGAAGGCAGGUCUCUGGGCCACUACUGACGUGAGAAGCGAAAGCAUGGGGAGCGAACAGG